CCUCUGUACUUCUAUGUGCAAGGAGGCUGCCAUGGACGCCUGAGGUCCUCCGCUCCGACCCACACCCCGGCGGCCUUGCCGACGUCGUCGCCGAGGUGAGCCGCAACCUCGAUGGAGGUCCGCCUUCCGGAUCCGAGCCGCAGACACCCACCCGCUGUUUUCGUCUGCUUCCGCUCCUGCUCCGUCGUUCUCACGCGACCAUCUUGACUCCCUCCCGCACGCACGAGCAGCAGGAAGAUGCAGUUCUUCGUCAAGACCUCACAGCUGUGGAUACUGUGGCUACACAUUGAACUUGAGCUCCUCAACACGGAACACGGCCAACAUUGGAUCCAAGUAUGGGAAGCAGAUCAGGAAAGGCGCCGUCUCAUUCUUUGUGAUUUUUUGGAUUGUGUGCCUUGAAAAGCAUGGUUACAACCAUUCCUAAUUUUUUGUUCUUGUUCGAUUUGGAUUUGGAUGCAGCAGGUGCUCUGCUCUUGCGCACGUUUGGUGGCGUCUCCGGCACAGCCGUGCUUCUUGAGGCGACCGGCGUGAUGGCGGGUGUGUAUGGCGGCGACCACAAGCUCUCCGGGAGCUCCGCAUCUAAGUCUCGGCCAUCCUCCACAGCAAGGAGCUGGGCCAAGGGAGCUAGCAGCGCUACUGGUUUCUUGAGGCCGGAUCGUGUAAGAUGGUGCACCACGGCAUGCGGCGGCCUAUUCUGUCGUAGUGGUAUUGUGUAUAGUCUCAUCCAACACUGAGUAUCAAUAUGUUGUUUUAAUCCUGAUGAUGUUGUAGCAUAAAGUGGUUACUUGUCUGAUGCACAUUGUUCUUUGUAGGGUUAUGAUGAUAUUUCCAAGGAAAUAUACUGACCCUGAUGUGGCUAAGGUGACGCCCAGCCCCCAGGGAGCUCCGCAUCCAAGUCUAGUGUAGGGUAUUUCUGUUUUAAUUUUCUUUGUCAUAGAAUAGUUUUGUUUGGCACUUACUGUUCCAGGGAUGUAAAGAUAUGUAUUGCUGGAAUGAAUGGUUGUAAUAUAAUAACAUGGCACGUUGCUUUGAAAAUGUAUCAUAACUGGGCUAGGCCCAAGAUAGCUUGUGGUGUGAUGAGUUGUAAUGUCUAUGGCAUAGUAAUUUUUUUUGGAUUGGAUUAAUUUUUUCGGAACUGGGCUAGGCCCAAGUUAUAUUGGACAAUUAUUUUUGAGGGAAAAACAUGAGAGGCCCAGCAAAGAAAUGGCCCAGAAAAAUACAUGAUCAAAAAGAAAAUCUGCUGUUAAAAGGGCCACGCAAAGAAAUCAAUAGGGCUGAAUUGUUGGGUCAGACCCAUGUAGCUAAUAAAAGCACAGGAAAAAAAUACAUUAAAAAGGCCGAAUUGU